GAAAAAUGCAGACUUGCUGAACUUGUUCAUAUUCCUGAAAUAGAUAUGUCCUGCUGCCACGUUGUUUUUGUUUGGUCUUACCCUCAAGUUCUGUUAAAAUGAGACAAAUAACGAUGGUGUAGCUGAUAUAGGACAAAAGUUUGUGGGUUCCUUGCGGAGAACAACAAUCGAUGUCGUGGGGCUUUUCAAGGAAAAUCAUUGUUGUAUCAGUUGGGUAAAGAUAUCUUCGAGAACAAAGCAAUUCAAACUGCAACAAUUAAGCAGACAUGGGUAACAAGAAUUCAAGUUCGAAAACAAGAGACGACAGCAAAACUUCUAAUAGUUUAACCCAGAAUAACGUCGUAGCUGUUGAUAGAGAACCUUUAAGGACAUCAUCCAGACUAAAUGGGCUUCCAAAUUACCAGAAUGCUGCAGUAACAAUACAGAAUAAUGUUCAAUCAAAUGCAGGUGUGCAUUUUAGCGCUCACACACAGCGAGUGGUUUGUGCACGUGCAUCAGAUCAAGAAAUAAAUACAGACAACCUCAACAAAAACUACUCUAGUGUUGGUCAUAUUUCCAGG